UACGUAGGGACCAAGCGUUGUUCGGAUUUACUGGGCGUAAAGGGCGCGUAGGCGGCAUGACAAGUCACUUGUGAAAUCUCUGGGCUUAACUCAGAACGGCCAAGUGAUACUGUCGCGCUAGAGUGCAGAAAGGGCAAUCGGAAUUCUUGGUGUAGCGGUGAAAUGCGCAGAUAUCAGGAGGAACACCGGUGGCGAAGGCGGGUCUCUGGGCCGAUACUGACGCUGAGGAGCGAAAGCGUGGGGAGCAAACAGG
rnacentral:rRNA from 1 species